GCCAGCUGUCCUUACAGAUGCUGGAAAUUUUAGAGCCUCCUCAGAGAUGUAUGCUGUUUCUUCAGGGUAAACCAUUUCCCAGAGAGAGACGGCAUUGGAUGCUGCGGAAUUGGAAGCAAGAGGGAGAUUUUGGAUCCAUGCACAGAACAUUAUCCUCAGGAGGCCUCACUCUCCAGGACAGCACCUGACAUCUCAGCAGCCGCUAGUCUUAGACUGCUGAACACGCUGUCACAGACGUCCUAGAACUGUUACUGCAGCUACUGUACCUUGCCUAUAACAUCAGAGCAGCUGAAGAAGGUGGAAGUUGAAAUGUCUUGCCCAUUAUAUUUCUGUUUUGUUAAUCAACUACUCACACACACUUUGAUCUAAAGAACCAUGAGUCGUAGAAGAAAAUAUUGUUAGAGGCCCUGCAUUUUCAGAAAUUAAGGAGACUUAACAGGCAAGAUAAGCUUAAAAGAAUUUUGGGCAAAAAUAAUCAGAUUUAAAAUAAAGAAAUAAGUGGGCACAAAAC